ACUGGAUACUGCUUGCAUGCAUUGAGGAGUGCUAAGCAGAAGCACAAUGUUUUGCAAGUGAAUAGCAGAUGGCAAAUGCAGUCAUUCAAAGGGCUCAUAUAGAAUCACCCCAUGCUGCUACAGCUAACUUGGUAUGGUGAACGAAGAAGAAGAAGACAGCCAUUUAUAGAUCAGGAAGCAAAUAAAACACACAGCCAAGCUGAGUCCAGUCUGAUGCAAAGCAUAACAAAGGACAGGCAAGAGACAAAAUAUAGCACUGUUUAAAAACAGAUAUUUAGAAUUAAACAAAAUGGUAGAAAUAGAAAGGCAUUUAUUAAUGAAGAGCAAGACUAUCUGUGAGUACCAGGCUAAUGAGUGCUAA